CAUUACCACACCAAAAAAACAUUUUCCACGUGAACCGUUGUCUGUAUGGUUUGUACUGCUGCUCGUCUUCGGGCUUGUAGUGGCGGUUGAGCAAAGCUUACGUUGAUUGAUUCGUCCUUGUGGCUGAGUCUCCGUGAGCGCCCAUUUUUAAACCCUUUACCCAUACCUCAUUUUCUGAUGCAUACUCCGAGAACGAAAGUUCUUGGUUUUAACUAGAUAACAACUUUCAGCAGUGGAUGUCUAGGCUCGCACAACGAUGAAGAACGCUGCGAACUGCGAUACGUAAUGCGAAUUGCAGGAUUCAGUGAGUCAUCGAGAUUUUGAACGCACAUGGCACUCUCGAGUUUAUUCUUGGGAGUAUGUCUGUAUCAGUGUCUGUUGUAAAAACUUGCCUUUUGUGUGUGUUUUCUUCGAGAGCGUGCGCGACUGUGCAGAAGGUGAAGUGUCUUGCUGCGUGUUUUGUGCGGCGAGUCCUUUUAAAUGCAGUUUGCUUCUGUGUGGUUCGAAGCAUGCGUUUGCCUCGGAGGAGGUGAUCGUGUUGGACUUGCACGUAAGGUUGACUUCAGCUGGAACGCUGUGGACAAUGCCCAAUUGAGUGGUAUGUUGUGCACUUGUGCUCGACUUGUUACUAGAUUGGUGUGUGGUCUGUUUCGGUGGGGGUCCUUUGUGUGUGAUGUAUUGAUGCGGUUGCUGUUUGCACUUCUGGGCUUGAAUGUGUGUGUUGGACUGCGCGUUUUACAACGGAGGCCUAUUUGGGAAAUGAGUGUGUUUCGGCACAUGGAACUUCAAAUUGGACCUGAUAUC
rnacentral:rRNA from 1 species